UCUUCUUUUUCAAAUGGUGUCUAAUCGGAACAGGAUGAAUCCCAUCUCGAAAGUUUCAUUUGAAAACAACAUUGGUCUUGGAUCUCUGAUCUGAUGGUUGGAUCACCGGGAAAUUGGUGGGAAAGCUGCUACCAAACCCAUCUCUCUCUCUCUGUUCAUUUAUUUCUUUAUAAAGCUCCAUUUUCUGCAAUUCUUGUUGGAAAAGAAAGCCCAUUCACCUAGUAACCUAGUGCCGCCGACAACGGCCAAAGGAACCAUUUGAAGUUUCUGCUCCAACUUGCGGUUCUUCCUUCCUCACGCCGUUGUAGCUUGCCAUUCACCAACUCAAGGCAUUGCUGGUGGUCGCUAGAGGGAAGAGUACUAACUUGGAACCUCGCUGGCACCAGAGCAAAAAGAAAGGGAGAGGAAGGAAGACGUGAGGGAGAGAAGGACCAUCGUGAAGAAAGG
rnacentral:misc_RNA from 1 species